rnacentral:rRNA from 1 species
AUUGAAAGCUGGCGGCAGGUCUAACACAUGCAAGUCGAACGCGUGGCGGUCGGUUACGUAAUGUCUGGGAAACUGCCUGAUGGAGGGGGCUAACUAAUGGAAACGGUAACUAAUACCGUCUCCCAUCAGAUGUGUUUAGAUGGGAUUAGCUAGUUGUGGGGGUAACGGCUCACCACGGCGACGAUCCCUAGCUGGUAUGAGAGGAUGACCAGCCACACUGGAACUGAGACACGGUCCAGACGCAUACGGGAGGCGGCAGUAGGGAAUAUUGCGCCAUGGGCGCAAGCCUGAUGCAGCCAUGCCGCGUGUAUGAAGAAGGCUUUCGGGUUGUAAAGUACUGUCAUCAGGGAGGCGUUACCCACAGAAGAAGCACCGGCUAACUCCGUGCCAGCAGCCGCGGUAAUAC